ensembl:lncRNA
AAAGGGUAACAAUCGUUUAAUAUAAACAAAACAUUUAUAUACAGCAGAUUACUGUAAUAUUUCCUCCAUUUAAGGCUAAAACCAGUAUUGACUACAGAAGCAUUCAACUGAAUUGAAAACAUUUAUUGGCCAAAUAGUUUGGCAUUUGAAGAUAAGAAAAUGAAAACUGAAUGACUACAGAUGAAUUUUAGACAAUGAAUUCAGGUUACGUUACUGUACAUCUUGUUUUUAAAACCUAAAUGCAGUGAAACCUUUGAAUGACCCUUAAAACAACACGGGACAUGGAAUGAAUAAUACAAAUGUAGAAUGAUUUCAAUUUAAAUAAUAAAGUCAUACAUUUUUGGGAGCAAAUAAACACGUGAGGACAGAGCAUAGUCUACUUUUAAGGCUGAAAGGUAAAUAUUCAAAUACACAAAGUAAUCAUUAUAUAUUUGAAAAUGCCAACAACGAACAUGAGUCUGAAUUUGUUCUACAAAAACCCUGAAUUGAGAAGACAUGGUAAAAUGUCCACUGGGAACAAUGCAGAAAUCAAAAGUAGAAUGAUUAAAUUAGAUGAUUUAAAUUGCAGAAAAGUCCUAAUUGAACUACAUGAUGAUCUUGAAAACCAAAAUGAGAAUAAUACUGGUACGGAAGUUAUGGCACUUCUGUUUCCUCAGUAUCACAUGAAGUUAAUUCAUAUCAUUACAGGUCUAAUACCACCAGGUCCCUGUCCUAGUACUGAUGAUUAAAAACCCGAACUUCAGUUAAAACAUUUUUUUUUUAGGUUGUCAUAGCAUCACUAAAACCUGACAAAACAAAUUUACUCCAUAUUGUUCAAUGCCAUAUCCACAUGUCAAUUUCACAAACUUGAACCUCAAUGCCAAUACAAGAAUUAUAACAUCUAAAUAAUGAUUGUCAAACCUUUCAUACCAUUAGCAGAGAAAUGGUUAUGAAGGUUGGUAAAAUAAUAACAUAAAUAUUCACAUUCCAUUGUUUAAAUGUAAUUACUAUUCCUGCUUUACGUCCCCUAAGUGAGGUCACAGCAGGUAAGCUACUACAUAACCCCAAUAUUUAAAUUGAAACACAAAUGCUGUACAAACAAAACAGGGCAAAUGAUAACAUUUCAGUUUUCUAUGCUAGUCAAAGUGCAUUACAAAUGCUUAUAACAAAGGCAUCAUUACAGACUUGAAGUACAGCUGUGUUGAUAUCACAGUUUCCAACAGAUCAAGUAACUGUGUAGGGACUCGGGAGGGCUACUAAAAGUUGCCUUUGAAUAUCAACAUCAGCAUUAUCAGACAACCCUCAGAGGCAAGUCAAAACACAUUCAUUUACUGAAAAACAAAUCUUAACAUUUGAAUUCUUAAUAUACACAAUUUUCACUUCUAUAUUAAUAAAGUUUACAGACAAGUGUUUAAGUUAAACAUACUAAAUAAGAGUAGAUGCUGUUGCAAACAACAGACAGGGAAGUACAACAGUCAUUUUUCUCCUUUCUGAAGAGCUUCCUGGAUGGUCAUUACAUCGUGUUGCAGAUUGUUGAUUUAGAUUGCACUGGUUGCUUUGUAUAUAUAUAUUCAGAAAGAGGAAAUAAACAAUGCAAAAUCUUCAGCGCAUGUUAUGGACACCGCAAACAUACAAAAUAUACAUUUGGUAAAGUGUCAGAUACUCUUAAAUGUACAUUACUUGAAGGUCUCAUCAGUUUCAAAUGACAACUUCAUUUUGAAACAAUUUAGUAACUUUCAUAUGUGCCACAGUUUCAAAUAAUCUAAAAAGAAAGUGUGACUAAUCUGAAUGUGAAAAAUUAAGCCUGAGAAUUACAAAGCAAAAUAGCUAGUAAUCAGUUGAGAUAAACAUAACCUAAGAUACAGAUGAACUGAAAAUGUAGCUCAAAGUGUUAAAAAUAAUACACCAUCUAAAAACACACGGCCCCCAUUCUCACCCUAUUCACAUUGAGGCCUUGUGAUUCAAUAUGGCACCACUAUAGAUAAGCCCUGAAAUAAAGUACCUUUUUCUGGUCUACAGAGUGGCUAUUAGUAACAGCUGUGACACCUCCUGUAUCACGUUGUACUACACUGGACAAUUUGUUCAGUAGAUAUUCAGACUGGCCUUUUACUGGACUCAAUAUAGCCAUGAAGGGAACAAGUGGGGACAAAGUGGUCAAAUAUGCGGACUAGCUUCUACCACAAAACUCUGUUAAGAUAAAAAUCGAAAUAACUCAAAAUAUAUUCUCUGAAACUUGAACGAUGAUCACUUAAACAUUCAUCAUCUAUUCAGAGUUCUUUCAAGUACAUGUUAAAACCUCUGAGACGACCCAUACUGAUUAAUGCCAGUAUGAAUUUGAAUUUAAAAGACCAUAAACCGAUGGUCAAGUAUUUAUCCCCUCUGGAUUAAAAUAUCAUUCAUUUAUGCAGUAUAGGAAAGAGCUGCAAUACCAGAACAGCAUAGAGCUCCAAUACCAGAACAGCAUAGAGCUCUAAUACCAGAACAGUAUAGACUUCAAAACCAGAACAGUAUAGAAUUCAAUACCAGAACAGCAUAGAGCUCCAAUACCAGAACAGCAUAGAGC